UAUUUAAGUUUUUGAAAGGAUUACAAAUGUAAUUAUAUAAAAAGACUUGAAAAAAAAAAGGAAAAAAAAAAAAAAAAAAAAAGAUCACUGGAGCUGGAAAAAACGCUGCUUAGCCGGAGACCAAAGAGAAGAGAGAGAAAAAAAACGAUAGCGGAUUCAUCACUCAAACACUUCCUUAGAAAUCAUCGAUUAUUUCCCCAAUUCAAUUGCUAAAAAUGAUUGUUCUUCUUCAUCAAUUUCUGGAUUUUAGCUAAUUUUUUUCGGAAUUUAUCAUUGAAUUUUCGAUUUUUGGUGGUGUGGUGGUGGAUUUCGGGGAGGGUUUUAGGAAGAAUUUUAAAACCCUAGAUUCCCGAAGAAAUUUCAAUUUGAAGAUGGAAAAUGGUGGAUUGGCUGAUAAAUUUGGCGGUUUGAAUAUUGAUAACGCUAAAGAAAGCAGUCUUUUUCAAGUUAUGAAAGCUGUUGAAGCUGCUGAAACUACAAUUCGUCAUCAGGUUGAAGAGAACAAUAGGUUAAGGGAAGAGCUUCUGAAGAAAGAUCGGGAACUUGAAAAUCUUAAGCUUGAUAAGCCAACAGCUCAGGGGUCUUAUUCAGUUGAUCCAUCUGGUGAACACAUGCAGGGAAUAAUAAAUAGGGUCCAUCAAGUACCUCAAAUGUUUGAUACAUCAGGUGGCCAGACUGCAGAGAACGCCAACAACCUCCAGCCUGCAUCACCUACACUACACUCUCCGGGCAGACAUCUCAUGUUGCAAAAGAAUGGCGAGUACGAUCCUAACAAUGUUCAUGUAGAAAGAUUGAUGCCAGUUACUGAAUCAAAUAAUCAUAGCAACCUUUGGCAGCAGAUCAGGGAGCGUGAAGAAGAAAUCUUGCAGCUUCGUAAGCAUCUAAAUGACUAUUCCAUAAAGGAAGCCCAAAUUCGUAAUGAAAAAUAUGUUCUAGAGAAGCGCAUUGCUCAUAUGCGAAUGGCAUUUGAUCAACAACAACAAGAUCUAAUUGAUGCAGCAUCCAAAUCUCUUUCUUAUCGGCAAGAUAUAAUUGAAGAAAAUGUGCGCUUAACUUAUGCUUUACAGGAUGUGCAGCAAGAGAGGACAACUUUUGUGUCAUCUUUAUUGCCUCUUCUUGCAGAAUAUUCUCUUCAGCCACAAGUAUCAGAUGCCCAGUCUAUUGUUAGUAACGUCAAGGUGCUAUUUAAACAUCUGCAGGAAAAAUUAAUCAUCACUGAGGCAAGAUUGAAAGAGUCUCAGUAUCAAUUAACACCAUGGCGCUCUGGUGGGACUAGUCCUAACUUUGCUGCACAUUCCCCUGAACAUUCCAGUGGCGCAGCACCUACUUCAAGCAAAAAUGGGCUAGAACUUGUGCCUCGUCCUUCAUAUUCUCCUGCAAACAUGGCAAACUCUGAUGGUCAGAUUGCUGCAGAUUGGAAUUCUAGGGGCCAGCACGCCAUUCAAGCUGAUGCAAGCGCUCCUUUUUCACAAAAUGCAGAGUUAAGCAAUAUGGGGAGGUAUUCACCUCUUGCAAGCAGGGAUCUAGAUACCCAUGAUGCACCAACGCAAGUUGCUGUCAGCCGUGAUGAAUAUCAUGCUACGCCUAGACAGGUCAAAUUUAAGGAUCCAGUAAGUAGUUCUGAGGUAUACGGAGCUGCUGCAGAGGGGCAAUAUCAUGAAAAUGAAGAUGCAUUGACUUGGAAUACAGGGACCUCUCCUUAUUCCAACACAAUUGAGGAUCCUAGUUCUUCCUUUCCUUAUCUUCAACCAGUUCCUGAAGAACCUUCAUCUUCUUUCUCUGAGGCUGCUGAUGAUGAUCCAUUACCAGCAAUAGAGGAUCUUCAAAUAUCAGGUGAACCUUAUCCCGGGCGAGAGAUCCAAGCGUGUGGCUUUUCUACAAACGGAACAACCAGCUGUAACUUUGAGUGGGUGCGCCAUUUGGAAGAUGGAUCUGUGAAAUACAUAGAUGGGGCAAAACAACCGGUCUACCUUGUCACAGCUGAUGAUGUGGAGACAUAUCUGGCCAUUGAAGUUCAGCCUUUGGAUGACAGAAAAAGAAAGGGGGAGCUUGUAAAGGUUUUUGCUAAUGAGCACAGAAAAAUCACUUGUGAUCCUGCCAUGCAAAGUCACAUAGAACAGAACUGGCGGAAUGGUCAGGCCUCUUAUAAAGUAUCAGUAUCGACAGGUUACCUUGACAUAUGGGAGCCAGCUACUUUGACUAUUAAGCGUGAGGGUUAUAGUAUCAAGGGAAGUGGAUCCAGCAGUCUUGCUGUCAAUGAGAAGUUUUUACCCGGAACCAAUGUAACCAUUACCCAUGGUCACCUUCUCGAGUUUUCUAUAUUUAGUCCCAGUGAUGUUGAGCAUCUCAUGCGAGCUGAGACUACCAUAACAGACAUUGCUAGUAUGAGAGAUACAAUUGUCCUCACGCUGAGAUUAUUCAUCAUGAAGUCAAAUUUGACCACAGAAGAUGGAUAUUCAAUUGAUUAUCCAACAAAAACAGCGUCUCUGCACUGGCAAGCGUAAGGCUGAAAAAUUUUGACCCUCGGACCAUGCCAUAGGUGGACCAUUGUUCAUUGGACGGGCUAUGCAAAAAGGGAAAGGAAAGAGGAGGAGGAUGUUCUUUAGCAAGUGAAUGAUUUUUUGUAUGGGAGGCUCUCUCUCCCUUUUUUUAGGGUGUAAAACAAAGGAAAUGGGGUUUAAAAAAGAGUACUGUAUUUACUUCAGGGUAGCAGGCUUUUCUGUAUCGCAGUGAGACUGUAGUGAACAUGUAAAGGUUGAGUAAUGUAAGUUAUAGGCUAUUCAGAAAUGUAAUCAAUCCAUUCUUAACAAUUUGGUGAAUAUUUGUGUUAUUGGAGGUCCUUGAGCGACGACUAAAA